AGUUUAGGUUCAAAAGAGCACGCACAGAUCCUGAGUGUUGUCAAGCACCCGUGACUGGGAAACGGAGGCGUCCGAUCCGUAUUGGAGUCAAUUCGCCACUUAAUUGUUUCAGGGGUUACUCCAUCAUUAUCAUGGCAGGGAACAUGGCAGGAUGCAGGCAGAUGGUAGCUGAGAGUUCUACAUCUGGAUCCACAAAAAACCCUUUGAAAAGAUUCAGCACGUUGCCAUGGAGAACAUCCCACUGAAGGAAUGUAUAGAAGUAGCAGGGUUAACUGAGUGCCUUCCAUCUUCCCUCCAAGGGAUCUGCAAUGAGAUGGGAGAAGGCAACAGGCUGUGUGGGAACCACUGAAGCUGGGAUGGCAGGGAAAGAACAUCUUAGGCUAACUCUUCAAGCCUUGCUGUCACAUUUGCUUUUGAGUCUAUGGUGUCAGCUGCCUACCAGUUGCUUUCAUCUCUAGAAAUCUGUGACUUGCAGUAUGACAAGAACAAAAGGUGACAAUACAAAGGACAAAGGGCAAGGAAUACAGACGGAGAAGCCGCUUAGAGUCUAGGAUGGCAGAGGUUCUCUUGAUCAUUUCAUUUUUGAGCGCUUGUAGAGCUUUGGUGUACCAGAGGUGCUUGAACAGCUUACCACACCACAGAUGAAUGGCCUUUGGAUUUCUCCUAAGAAAAUGUGGCUACCUGAAAUUCAACUCCAUUUUCUGGUCUUCAAUAUUUCUUUUGUGUUCAGUUUGCCAGCUGAGGAGAAGUGGCUAAGCAUAGCCUGUUACUGAUGCUAAAGCCCAAGUUCUGAACCUAACAACUCCAGCAACAUGAUCCUGUUUCAAGAGACAAAAAAGUGACUAAUGAAAGAAAACAAUUGAUGUGCUAUGUAGAGUUUAAAAGAAGGUAAAGAGAAUAAAUUAAAAGCAACAACUCUC
rnacentral:lncRNA from 1 species